GCCUACGGGAGGCAGCAUGUGGGGAAUCUUAGACAAUGGGGGCAACCCUGAUCUAGCCAUGCCGCGUGAGUGAUGAAGGCCCUAGGGUUGUAAAGCUCUUUUGUGCGGGAAGAUAAUGACGGUACCGCAAGAAUAAGCCCCGGCUAACUACGUGCCAGCAGCCGCGGUC
rnacentral:rRNA from 1 species